UCACCCUACUGAUGUUGAGCUGAUAAUGUACUAUCUAAAGCGGAAGAUCAUGGGGAAAAAGAUCCUUUUUGAAGUCAUAUCAGAACUCAACAUUUAUAAGUUCUCCCCAUCAGAUCUUCCAGACAAAUGUUGCUACAAAAGUAAAGAUCUUGAAUGGUAUUUCUUUUGCCCAAGUGAGAGAAAGUAUGCAAGUGGAUUCAAGAUGAAUCGCACUACUGAUAUUGGAUUCUGGAAAAUUACUGGCAGGGAUAGACGUGUUCUUUAUGAUGAAAAGUUUGUUGGAUCUGUUAAGACUUUGGUUUUUCACCAAGGUAAAGCACCACGAGUGCAGAGAACUGAUUGGGUUAUUCACGAGUAUAGAUUUGAAGAUAAAGAUACGGCAGAUGCAGGAUUUUCGCUGGACGCGUACGUGCUUUGCAAAGUAUUUAAGAAAAGCGGACCAGGUCCCAAAAAUGGAGCGCAGUAUGGAGCACCAUUUAAGGAGGAAGAUUGGGAAGAUAAUGAGACACCUGCUGAACAUAAUCAAUCCAGUAUUCCUUCUUUACCUCUACCUGACAAUGAAACCCGCUCAAUUGUGACCCAGCCUUACAUACAUGAGAUGCCUGUUGAACCUAAUUCAUAUGGUGCAACUUCUGUACCUGCAAUGCCUGACAACCAAAGCUGCUCUGUCAUUACCACCAUGGUUGACCCAGGAAACAAAUAUCUUUGGCAUUUAACUGAACCAGGUCCAUCUUCUGCUGAGCUAUACAGUAAGAAGAUGCCUCAGGAAGAGGAUGAUUACAUGAUUCAGCUCUUUGACAAUUUCAUUGAAGAUCCUGCUAUAUUGUUUGCUGGAAAUGAGGAUAAUCUGGGUACUAACGAUAUGAAUGUUGAAGUUGCAUCUUUCAUUACUGGGAAUGUUAUGCACCACAAUCUUGGAAACCUUGACAACUGUGUAGAACUAGAUCAAACAACAUUUGAUCUUUCCGUAUUCCAGGGAACUGACUAUAGUCAUGACUCCAUAUUUUUCCAAGAUGUUCCCUAUUUGGAGCUCAACGAUCUUAAAAUCCCUCUGAGUCACUCUGCUGAAGCCAUUGAAACGGCGCCAGUAAUGAUGGGUAAUUUCUGUGUACCACAUAGUUCUGAUGUUGACCUGCGACAGUUCUGUUUUGGAAGCAAUUCUUCAGCCAGAAGUCAGCAAGUUGCAGGCCAAAAUCAGCUCCAUGUGCUCCCUGAAUAUCACAACCAGCAAGUUAUUGGGUCUUUUUGGUAAAUGCUGAUGCAGCUAAUGUGAAUCAGGCAUACAAUGCUCCAUACACGACUGAUUUUAGUUCUCACUAGCAGCCAGAGGGCAGUACAUACACUGCUCAAAACCCGGAAAGAGGUAGAUCUUACCAUUUCUGAUGACAGUUCGUGUUCCAGCAGUCAUGUACUAUUCAUUUGUCGUGCUAGUGUGAAUGCAGACAAUGAGUAUGAGAUACUGAAAAUUCUUUGUCUACAAUGUUCAUUUUUUCAAAUCGGAGAAUUCAGUGUCGGACAUAAAUAAGUUCCAUUUAAUCUGGUGUACUUUGGACAUCUAUGGCCAGAGUAGCUACCUAUCACUCAUGACUGAAAUGACCAUGCUUAGAAAACAGUCAAGUUACUCCGUAUUGUUGUCUUUAGGCGGUUUGAUCGACCAUGAGUAGAG
rnacentral:misc_RNA from 1 species